AGGGCCGCGGUAAUUUGACCGUGCGAAGGUAGCAUAGUCAUUAGUCUUUUAAUUGGAGGCUUGUAUGAACGGUUGGAUGAGGGACAUUCUGUCUCUGUUUAUAAUAUGAAUUUAACUUUUAAGUGAAAAGGCUUAAAUUUCCUAGUGGGACGAUAAGACCCUAUAAAAUUUUAUAUUUUUUAAUUUGAGUUUAGAAUUUGAUUUAAAUUUGUUUAUUUAUUUAUAUUUUGUUGGGGAGACAAUGAUAUGAUUUUAACUGUCAUUAUUAAUAUAAUAAUUAUAAUUAGUUUUUGAUCCUUUAUUAUAGAUUUAAAGAUUAAAUUACUUUAGGGAUAACAGCGUGAUUUUCUUUGAGAGUUCUUAUCGACAAGAGUAGUUGCGACCUCGAUGUUGAAUUAAGAUGUUAGGCAGGUGUAGCAGUUUGUCUAGUGGGUCUGUUCGACCUUUAAAAUCUU
rnacentral:rRNA from 1 species